AACAGUUACCCACUCCGGUGACCCGCAUUUCUCUUUCUGCUUAGGUCGUCCGCACGGGGAAGAUGUGGCUUCCUCUGCCGUAUGCCUGCAGAAAGAAGGUUUAGGGGCUCCGGUCUCUAAGAUGAGAAAGUUUUCAUCAACAGUGAUGUUUCAGAAAAUGAAUGCAAGUGCUUCCAAGACCUGCAGUUUUGAGAAAGUAGAUUCUAAAGCAUUAGCAUUGAAUUUGUAUACAAUGAAGUAUGCACUUGGCAUCACAGAGCACGACAACUAUUACUGAAGAAUGUACAGAAAUAACCUCAUCUCCACAAUAACAGUAUGAAAGCAUUUUUUCCUUGCUGAUAAAAAUCAGGGGUAUCCAAAACCAACACUGGAGCAAUUUCACUUCUUGAUAUAUAUCCAAAAGAACUGAAGACAGGAUCUCAAAGGAAUAUUUGCACACUCAUGUUCAUUGGAGCAUUAUUCACAACGGUCAAGAGGUGGAAGUAACCAAGUGUCUGUCAGUAGAUAAAUGGAUGAAAAAUAUGUCACUUAUAUACAUACAUACAUAUGGUGGGAUAUUAUUCAGCUUUUAAAAACAAAGGAAAUCCUGUCUAUGCUACAACAUGGAUGAACCUUGAGGACGUUAUCCUAUGUGGAAUAAGUCAGUCAUCAAAGGAAGAAUACUGUAUAAUUCAACUUAUAGGAAGUAUCUAAAAUAGUAAAACUUAUGCAGAUAGAAAGAAUGGUGGCUGUCAUGAGCUGAGGGGCAGGGAAAGGGGAUUGUUGGUUAAUGGGUUCAGAGUUUCAGUUUUACAAGAUGAAAAAGUUCUGGAGAGCUGCAGGACAACAAUAUGUACAUAGUUACCACUAAUUUACCGUAUACUUAAAUAUAGUUAAGAUGAUAAAUUUCGUGUUAUGUGUUUUUUUACCACACUAAACAAGUCUUUAAAAAAGGAAAAACAAAGAACAAAGCAACCCCGA
rnacentral:lncRNA from 12 species